rnacentral:rRNA from 1 species
GAUGAACGCUGGCGGCGUGCCUAAUACAUGCAAGUCGAGCGAACAGACGAGGAGCUUGCUCCUCUGACGUUAGCGGCGGACGGGUGAGUAACACGUGGAUAACCUACCUAUACGACUGGGAUAACUUCGGGAAACCGGAGCUAAUACCGGAUAAUAUAUUGAACCGCAUGGUUCAAUAGUGAAAGACGGUUUUGCUGUCACUUAUAGAUGGAUCCGCGCCGCAUUAGCUAGUUGGUAAGGUAACGGCUUACCAAGGCAACGAUGCGUAGCCGACCUGAGAGGGUGAUCGGCCACACUGGAACUGAGACACGGUCCAGACUCCUACGGGAGGCAGCAGUAGGGAAUCUUCCGCAAUGGGCGAAAGCCUGACGGAGCAACGCCGCGUGAGUGAUGAAGGUCUUCGGAUCGUAAAACUCUGUUAUUAGGGAAGAACAAAUGUGUAAGUAACUAUGCACGUCUUGACGGCACCUAAUCAGAAAGCCACGGCUAACUACGUG